CUUAAACCAAGCAGAAUUGUAUUGAUGAGGCCAAGGAAGUCAGCAGCAGGAGUAUGUCCCUCCAACCAGAAGACAAUACACCAAGAGGCUUCAGCACCUCAGCAGGGCAGUUAAGAUAAAUGGUCCAACAUUUUCAGGCAUCUCUACACAGCUCCAUCUGGAAAGCCUGCUGGAGGUAUGGUUGGUGUUAGCUUUGCUGUUGCCCUUUUCCUUGAUGGUGAGGCCAGCUAAUCUGCAUAAGCUGUUCCCACACUGUGAUGAGGGCUGACAACAGGGAGGCGCAGCUGAAGUCUCAGCAGGAUACUGCAUAGAACAUAUAAACUUAAAGAUGACAAGACUGAAGCCCUGACAAGACAAACAUUUUGCUGAUUCCCCUCCACCACCUCUCAGUUGCUACUAAAAUGAUGUUUCCAUACAGAACUUACUUCAGAGUGAAUACUAAUGUGAAGAUACAUUAAAACUUGAUGCAACAGGAAUUCAAAGCACUCUAACAGCAAUAAAACCAAAAGGAAAAGCCUCA